AUGGGAUUUUUACUCCUGUUCGUUUUCACUGUAGCAGCUUUGGAAGGUGUCCGGUCCCAGGUGCAGCUGGUGGAGUCCAGAGGGGAUGUGAAAAAGCCCGGAGACUCUCUCCGCCUCUCCUGCAAAGCCUCCGGCUUCACCUUCAGCAGCGCCUACAUGAGCUGGGUCCGUCAGGCUCCUGGCAAGGGACCAGAAUGGGUCGCUUAUAUAAACCCCGGUGGCGAUACCAUACUCUACCUUGAUUCCGUCAAAGGCCGAUUCACCAUCUCCAGGGAUAAUUCCAGGAGUGAGCUGUAUCUGCAAAUGACCGGCCUGAAGCCCGAGGACACCGCCCGCUAUUACUGUGCGAGAGACACAGUGAAACGAAACCGAUUUGUGAUCAUGCAAAAACGGAGGCUGUAG